UGGGGAAUUUUGGACAAUGGGCGAAAGCCUGAUCCAGCAAUGCCGCGUGUGUGAAGAAGGCCUUCGGGUUGUAAAGCACUUUUGUCCGGAAAGAAAUCCUCUGGGUUAAUACCUCGGGGGGAUGACGGUACCGGAAGAAUAAGCACCGGCUAACUACGUGCCAGCAGCCGCGGUAAUACGUAGGGUGCAAGCGUUAAUCGGAAUUACUGGGCGUAAAGCGUGCGCAGGCGAUUUUGUAAGACGGAUGUGAAAUCCCCGGGCUUAACCUGGGAACUGCAUUCGUGACUGCAAGGCUAGAGUAUGGCAGAGGGGGGUAGAAUUCCACGUGUAGCAGUGAAAUGCGUAGAGAUGUGGAGGAAUACCGAUGGCGAAGGCAGCCCCCUGGGCCAAUACUGACGCUCAUGCACGAAAGCGUGGGGAGCAAACAGGAUUAGAUACCCUGGUAGUCCACGCCCUAAACGAUGUCAACUAGUUGUUGGGGAUUCAUUUCCUUAGUAACGUAGCUAACGCGUGAAGUUGACCGCCUGGGGAGUACGGUCGCAAGAUUAAAACUCAAAUGAAUUGACGGGGUCAUAGCUGUUUCCU
rnacentral:rRNA from 1 species